GACGAACGCUGGCGGCGUGCCUAAUACAUGCAAGUUGAGCGCUGAAGGUUGGUACUUGUACCGACUGGAUGAGCAGCGAACGGGUGAGUAACGCGUGGGGAAUCUGCCUUUGAGCGGGGGACAACAUUUGGAAACGAAUGCUAAUACCGCAUAAAAACUUUAAACACAAGUUUUAAGUUUGAAAGAUGCAAUUGCAUCACUCAAAGAUGAUCCCGCGUUGUAUUAGCUAGUUGGUGAGGUAAAGGCUCACCAAGGCGAUGAUACAUAGCCGACCUGAGAGGGUGAUCGGCCACAUUGGGACUGAGACACGGCCCAAACUCCUACGGGAGGCAGCAGUAGGGAAUCUUCGGCAAUAGACGAAAGUCUGACCGAGCAACGCCGCGUGAGUGAAGAAGGUUGUCGGAUCGUAAAACUCUGUUGGUAGAGAAGAACGUUGGUGAGAGUGGAAAGCUCAUCAAGUGACGGUAACUACCCAGAAAGGGACGGCUAACUACGUG
rnacentral:rRNA from 1 species